rnacentral:pre_miRNA from 1 species
GUAAUACUCCCUCCGUUCGGAAUUACUUGUCCCGGAAAUGAAUGUAUCUAGAACUAAAAUACAUCUAGAUACAUCCAUUUCUAUGACAAGUAAUUCCGAACGGAGGGAGUAAAUA